rnacentral:rRNA from 1 species
ACGAACGCUGGCAGCGUGCUUAACACAUGCAAGUCGAACGGAAAGGCCUGCUUUCCCUUGUGGAUUGCGGGUACUCGAGUGGCGAACGGGUGAGUAACACGUGAGUGAUCUGCCCCCAACUUGGGUAUAAGCCUGGGAAACUGGGUCUAAUUCCCGAUAGGACUGCAGGGUGGUGCCUGUGGUGGAAAACGAUUUUCUAGUGGUUGGGGAUGAGCUCGCGGCCUAUCAGCUUGUUGGUGGGGUAAUGGCCUACCAAGGCGGCGACGGGUAGCCGGCCUGAGAGGGUGGACGGCCACAUUGGGACUGAGAUACGGCCCAGACUCCUACGGGAGGCAGCAGUGGGGAAUAUUGCACAAUGGGCGGAAGCCUGAUGCAGCGACGCCGCGUGGGGGAUGACGGCCUUCGGGUUGUAAACUCCUUUCGACCGCGAGGAAGCCACCUGGUUGGAAGGGUGGUGACGGUAGUGGUAGAAGAAGCACCGGCUAACUACGUG